AAUUAUCAUAUUCUUUAUAUUAUGCUUUGAAAUGUAAUUUUCUGUGUGGUCUAUUAAAUAAAUUUAACCAUACCAGUUUAAUUAUUGCAACAUGAACUACAAUUGUGCCUGGUUCAUAUUCACCUCAGUUUAGUUCGAUUCGAUAAGAAUUGAUUCACUUUAAAACUCGAUUUGAGUUUAACAUAAAUUUUUUUAAACUCAAACUCGACUCGUUUUAAGUUCACAGACAACUUGAUUCAAUUCGUCAGGUUCAUCUUAUUAGAUUUAUCUUGUUU
rnacentral:lncRNA from 1 species